rnacentral:rRNA from 1 species
CUAUACAUGCAGUCGAGCGGAGUUGAUGGAGUGCUUGCACUCCUAAUACUCAGCGGCGGACGGGUGAGUAACACGUAGGUAACCUGCCUGUAAGACUGGGAUAACUACCGGAAACGGUAGCUAAUACCGGAUAAUACAUUUCCCCUCAUGAGGAGAUGUUGAAAGGCGGAGCAAUCUGUCACUUAUAGAUGGGCCUGCGGCGCAUUAGCUAGUUGGUGAGGUAACGGCUCACCAAGGCGACGAUGCGUAGCCGACCUGAGAGGGUGAACGGCCACACUGGGACUGAGACACGGCCCAGACUCCUACGGGAGGCAGCAGUAGGGAAUCUUCCGCAAUGGACGCAAGUCUGACGGAGCAAUGCCGCGUGAGUGAUGAAGGUUUUCGGAUCGUAAAGCUCUGUUGCCAGGGAAGAAGAUUCAGGAGAGUAACUGCUCCUGGAGUGACGGUACCUGAGAAGAAAGCCCCGGCUAACUACGUGCCAGCAGCCGCGGUAAUACGUAGGGGGCAAGCGUUGUCCGGAAUUAUUGGGCGUAAAGCGCGCGCAGGCGGUCAUUUAAGUCUGGUGUUUAAUCCCGGGGCUCAACCCCGGGUCGCACUGGAAACUGGGUGACUUGAGUACAGAAGAGGAGAGUGGAAUUCCACGUGUAGCGGUGAAAUGCGUAGAUAUGUGGAGGAACACCAGUGGCGAAGCGACUCUCUGGGCUGUAACUGACGCUGAGGCGCGAAAGCGUGGGGAGCAACAGAUA